AAUUUUCCGCAAUGGGGGAAAACGGAGGGAACAAAAAAACAGGAGGUAGAAGGCGGAAGGGUCGUGAACUUCUUUUCCCGGAGAAGAAGCAAUCACGCUAUAUGGGGAAUAAGCAUCUAUAACUCUGCACCCGCAGUCGCGGUAAUGCAGAGGGUGCAAGCGUUUUCCAGAAUGAUCGGGGAUAAAGCGUGCUAGGUGGCUUUAAGGUCCGCAGUAAAAUCACAGGGCUCAAAAGGAACAGGCGGUGGAAAAUACCAAGCUGGAGUAGAGUAGGGGCAGAGGUAAUUCCCGGUGGGGCGGUGAAAUGGGAAGAGAUCGGAAAGAACACCAACGGGGAAACCACUUUGCGGGUCCGACCUGACAGUGAGAGACGAAAGCUAGGGGACAAAAUAAAAUUGAUACCUCGGUAGUCCUACCAGUA
rnacentral:rRNA from 1 species